rnacentral:rRNA from 1 species
UACGUAGGGUCCAAGCGUUAUCCGGAAUCACUGGGCGUAAAGCGUGCGUAGGUGGAUAAUUAAGUGCAGUGCGAAAUCCUGUGGCUCAACCAUAUGGACUGUACCGCAUACUGGUUAUCUAGAGGAUAUGAGAGGCAAGUGGAAUUACCGGUGUAGCAGUGGAAUGCGUAGAUAUGUGGAGGAAUACCGAUGGCGAAGGCAGCCCCCUGGGAUAACACUGACGCUCAUGCACGAAAGCGUGGGGAGCAAACAGG